rnacentral:rRNA from 1 species
CGUGGGUAAUCAACCCUCGACACUGGGAUAGCCCGGGGAAACCCGGAUUAAUACCGGAUGGCCCUUUGGAUCUUCGGAUCUGACGGAAAAGGUAGCUUCGGCCUCCGGUCGAGGACGAGCCCGCGGCGGAUUAGCUUGUUGGUGAGGUAACGGCUCACCAAGGCGACGAUCCGUAGCUGGUCUGAGAGGACGAUCAGCCACACUGGGACUGAGACACGGCCCAGACUCCUACGGGAGGCAGCAGUGGGGAAUCUUGCGCUAAUGCGGGAAACCGUGACGCAGCGACGCCGCGUGAGGGAAGAAGGCCUUCGGGUUGUAAACCUCUUUCAGGAGGGACGAAGCCACUCGGGUUAACAGCCCAGAGGGUGACGGUACCUCCAGAAGAAGCCCCGGCUAACUACGUGCCAGCAGCCGCGGUAAUACGUAGGGGGCUAGCGUUGUCCGGAUUUAUUGGGCGUAAAGAGCGUGUACGCGGCUAGAUAGGUCCGUUGUGAAAACUCGAGGCUCAACCUCGAGACGUUGAUGGAAACCAUCUGGCUAGAGUCCGGAAGAGAGAGUGGAAUUCCUGGUGUAGCGGGUGAAAUGCGCAGAUAUCAGGAGAACACCCGUGGC